GAAAUCAGUUCAGCACUAAGUCACUUUGUCUAUAUGGCAAAUGUGAGAUGCAGUGUAUGGAACGUCAAUAUUCUAGUAUGAGAAAUUAACGAUUUAAGUCCUUCUUAAAUGAGGCCAUUUACCCAUAGAGGGUGCCAGGCCCGUAUAACGUUAAUGAUUAUUAGAUGAUGUUUCCAAAGAGUCGUGUUGCUUGAUAGUGCAGCACUAAGUGGGUGGUAAACUCCAUCUAAAACUAAAUAUAACCAUGAGACCGAUAGUAAACAAGUACCGUGAGGGAAAGUUGAAAAGAACUCUGAAUAGAGAGUUAAAUAGUACGUGAAACUGCUUAGAGGUUAAGCCCGAUGAACCUGAAUAUCCGUUAUGGAAAAUUCAUCAUUAGAAUUGUAAUAUUUAAUCAAUAUUAUAACGAUAGUGUGCAUUUUUUCCAUAUAAGGACAUUGUAAUCUAUUAGCAUGUAUGGAAUUUAUCAAACAAUUUUGAUAAGAGUUUAUUUAAAUUAAAGUGCUUGCAUUUUAACACAAAAUAAAUUUCAAAAAUUUGAUAAAGUGCUGAUAGAUUUAUAUGAGUACAGUGCGUUAAUUUUUCGGAAUUAUAUAAUGGCAUGAUUAUCAUUGAUUUUUGUGUUUAUUAUAAGCACUUGUAUGAUUAACAAUGCGAAAGA
rnacentral:rRNA from 2 species